ensembl:lncRNA
UAUGCCAGGCUGGACAUUUCCUCCUGUUCUCAUGCUUCUGGACUCAAGAAUGCAGAGAGCACGCUGGCCUCCGGAAAGCAUCAGCAGCAGGAUGUGAACCAGGGACUCCCCCUUCGUGUCCAAAGGGCGAAUCACCUUGCUCCUGAGCCGUCAGCGUGGGUGCGGACUGGGGGUGUCGGGGAGAAGCAGGCGCUACCGGUAAUGGAAGUGUGAUGGGCUGGCGUCUCAGCCAAAGUACACUUGAACGUGAACUGCUGGUGUUUAUUCAAGUCGACUUCCUCACGUCCUAUGUCCCGGGGGCCUGGGCCGUCCCCGUUACUACCAUUGCUGCUAUGGUGCGGGAUCCAGCGUGCUCGAGGUGUGUGCCUCUGGGCUGGGCUGAUGCCCAGGGCCGGGCUUCCUUUCUGGAGCUGCGUCAGUUUCCCUCUCAGCCCUCACACUCCUUGGCGGCCCAGAGCGACAAAGGCAGGAGUGCGUGCAGUGUAAGUCAGUCAACGAAGCGAACAAAAUCCAGAGAAACAGCACCUGCCCUCGACUGAGCGCAUGCUGUGUUCUAGGUCCUGAAUGCCCGAGAUCUCAGCACCUCCUCAAGGCGGGGAUCGUCUUCUCACUUCGGGGGUCAGGAGAACAGGGUCGUACCAGUUGGGGUGAUGUGCCUCCGGGUCUGUGUGUGAUGGGGCUUGGGGGUCAGGUGGGAUCCUCAAGCUGGGGAGCAGCCUAGCCCCAUGAAUGCUGCCAAGGGGCAUCUCUGUGGGAGAGAGGAGGCACUCUCCCUCUCUCGCGGGGAGCUCUGUGGGCUGUGGGGUGGAGCGACCUCCCACGUGGCAGCACCUGUUCCCUCCACAAACCGGCCAGCGCCGCCUUCCUGCCCUUGGGAGCAGACACUGCGGUUGACAAAGGUCGUCCGGCUUAUCCAGCCUCUGUUUUCCUGUGAUAUUGAUGCUUAUGCCAAGUGGGAGAGAGACCUCAAAGUGUUUAGGCUUUAUUGUUCUGCUGAGCUAUUCAUGGGCCCAUGUAUUUCCUACUGCAUAAACCCAGACUGGACUUCGUGGACGGUGAUUACACUAAACCAACACCACAACGACCCCACCUUACUCCCAGGUUAUGGUCAAAUAUGUGUGGAUGUUUCUGACAAGCUAUGUGUGAGACGAGUGGAGGCCCAGGAGUCGGAUCCAACGGUGUUUGUGGCUGGUACAGAGGAAGGUGAGACGUAUGCAGGAAUUUCACGCUCCUUCACUCUUGAUAGGUGCUGCUAG